UGGGACCUGGGGCCUGGGACCUGGGGCCUGGGGCCUGGGGCCUGCGGGCCAACGUCUCCCGAGCCCUCCAGACUCUACCUUACCCGCUUUUAACUUGCCAAGGCUGGGGAAGGGACAAUGCUGGUUUCAUUGCCCAUUAAAAACCCUUGACCUCUGGCAUGAAGAGCUCAUGGAAACAAGGCAUUGGGACAUGCCCGGUAUUUAGGAUGCCGAUGUCGUGAGGAACCAGUACCCACUCCAGGGAUGAUUUAUUCAUAUCCAUGUCCAGACAUGAAGCCGAGCAUCGUCAGUCUGGAUGUAGGAGGCUGCAGGAGACCAUUGUGCCUGCCCUGAGAGUGAGGACAGUUCAGAAGAGGCAGGAGGAAGAAGUGAUUCCCACUGUUUUUAUGAAGCCAGCACAAGUAUGAGGCCAGAAAUCUCACCGGGAUAUUUCCAGAAAAGAAAAUCAGACUACAGUCGACUGCUCCACAGACAGGCUGAUAUAAGCAAGGACAGUGGUCGGUUUUUGGGUUUUGUUUUUUUUUUGUGUGUGUGUGUGUGUGUGUGUGUGCAUUUUUUGGUGAGAUUCAUUUCUGAAAAGAGGAUCUUUUCUGGAUAUGGUAAGGUCUACAUUUUGAUGU